UACUAUCCUAAAUGCACCUGAUCUCAUCUGAUUUUAGCUGCUAAGCAGGAUCCAGAUUGAUUAGAACUCAGAUGGACUACCACUUGGGAAUACUUGGGU
rnacentral:rRNA from 1 species